rnacentral:rRNA from 1 species
UAGGGAAUCUUCCACAAUGGACGCAAGUCUGAUGGAGCAACGCCGCGUGAGUGAAGAAGGUUUUCGGACCGUAAAGCUCUGUUGUUGGUGAAGAAGGAUAGAGGUAGUAACUGGCCUUUAUUUGACGGUAAUCAACCAGAAAGUCACGGCUAACUACGUGCCAGCAGCCGCGGUAAUACGUAGGUGGCAAGCGUUGUCCGGAUUUAUUGGGCGUAAAGCGAGCGCAGGCGGAAGAAUAAGUCUGAUGUGAAAGCCCUCGGCUUAACCGAGGAAUUGCAUCGGAAACUGUUUUCUUGAGUGCAGAAGAGGAGAGUAGAACUCCAUGUGUAGCGGUGGAACGCGUAGAUAUAUGGAAGAACACCAGUGGCGAAGGCGGCUCUCUGGUCUGCAACUGACGCUGAGGCUCGAAAGCAUGGGUAGCGAACAGGAUUAGAUACCCUGGUAGUCCAUGCCGUAAACGAUGAGUGCUAAGUGUUGGGAGGUUUCCGCCUCUCAGUGCUGCAGCUAACGCAUUAAGCACUCCGCCUGGGGGAGUACGACCGCAAGGUUGAA